GUCCCUGGGACGUAAUGAAUAGCGCGUUGGACUUCUAAUCCAAAGGUCGUGGGUUCGAUUCUCAUCUGGGAUG